CAGUCAUGCUAGUGAAAAUUCAGUUUGGUGGGUUUUGGGUUCAGGAGUUGAGGCAGGGACAAACCGUUUCUCUUUUGAACUUGGAAUUUGUCAGAUGCACUUUUUCUUUGCAGGUCAGCGUCGAUUUCGGAGGUUGUAAAAUACUUGGGGAAAAGUAGCUCUGCUUCGGGAGAGUGUUAUAGACCUUGGGUGAUGCGGCCUGCGGGAUCGAGGAUUGCAGCAAAUGCCUUUGGCUAUGUCGCCUGAUCUCUGGACGUCACCUCGCUUGUA
rnacentral:rRNA from 1 species